GAUGAACGCUAGCUACAGGCUUAACACAUGCAAGUCGAGGGGCAGCGCAGUGUAGCAAUACAUGGGCGGCGACCGGCGCACGGGUGCGUAACGCGUAUCCAACCUUUCCGUUACUCAGGGAUAGCCUUCCGAAAGGGAGAUUAAUACCUGAUGGUGUUUGAAUUCCGCAUGUUAUUCAAACUAAAGAUUUAUCGGUAACGGAUGGGGAUGCGUGACAUUAGGCAGAUGGCGGGGUAACGGCCCACCAUGCCUACGAUGUCUAGGGGUUCUGAGAGGAAGGUCCCCCACACUGGAACUGAGACACGGUCCAGACUCCUACGGGAGGCAGCAGUGAGGAAUAUUGGUCAAUGGUCGGAAGACUGAACCAGCCAAGUAGCGUGAAGGAUGAAGGUUCUAUGGAUUGUAAACUUCUUUUAUACGGGAAUAAAACCACCUACGUGUAGGUGCUUGUAUGUACCGUAUGAAUAAGCAUCGGCUAACUCCGUGCCAGCAGCCGCGGU
rnacentral:rRNA from 1 species